rnacentral:rRNA from 1 species
UACGGGGGGAGCAAGCGUUGUUCGGAUUUACUGGGCGUAAAGAGCUCGUAGGCGGUUCCGUAAGUCGUGAAGUCAAAUCUCUGGGCUCAACCCAGAAUCGCUUCCGAUACUGCGGUGACUGGAGUCCGGUAGGGGAGUGUGGAAUUCCUGGUGUAGCGGUGAAAUGCGCAGAUAUCAGGAGGAACACCAACAGCGAAGGCAGCACUCUGGGCCGGUACUGACGCUGAGGAGCGAAAGCAUGGGGAGCGAACAGG